rnacentral:ribozyme from 1 species
AAGUGAGAAAGGCAAGGGCAAGGGGAAAGGAAAGAAACGAUCCAAGCGAGACGAUGACUACCCUAGCAAGGGUGG